rnacentral:tRNA from 1 species
CUCCCUGUGGCUCAGUUGGUAGAGCAUGGUGUUUGCAGCGCCAGGGUUGUGGGUUCGAUUCCCACGGGGGGC